rnacentral:misc_RNA from 1 species
GAUGAAGAACGCAGCGAAAUGCGAUACGUAAUGUGAAUUGCAAAUUCAGUGAAUCAUCGAGUCUUUGAACGCACAUUGCGCCCGCCAGUAUUCUGGCGGGCAUGCCUGUUCGAGCGUCAUUACAACCCUCAGGCCCCCGGGCCUGGCGUUGGGGAUCGGCGGAGCCCCCCGUGGGCACACGCCGUCCCCCAAAUGCAGUGGCGGUCCCGCCGCAGCUUCCAUCGCGUAGUAGCUAACACCUCGCGACUGGAGAGCGGCGCGGCCACGCCGUAAAACACCCAACUCUUCUGAAGUUGACCUCGAAUCAGGUAGGAAUACCCGCUGAACUUAAGCAUAUCAAUAAGCGGAGGA